rnacentral:rRNA from 1 species
UAGGGAAUCUUCCGCAAUGGACGCAAGUCUGACGGAGCAACGCCGCGUGAGUGAAGAAGGAUUUCGGUUCGUAAAACUCUGUUGUUAGAGAAGAACAGCGCAUAGAGUAACUGUUAUGCGUGUGACGGUAUCUAACCAGAAAGCCACGGCUAACUACGUGCCAGCAGCCGCGGUAAUACGUAGGUGGCAAGCGUUGUCCGGAUUUAUUGGGCGUAAAGCGAGCGCAGGCGGUCAAUUAAGUCUGAUGUGAAAGCCCCCGGCUCAACCGGGGAGGGUCAUUGGAAACUGGUUGACAUGAGUGCAGAAGAGGAGAGUGGAAUUCCAUGUGUAGCGGUGAAAUGCGUAGAUAUAUGGAAGAACACCAGUGGCGAAGGCGACUCACUGGUCUGUAACUGACGAUAAGGCUCGAAAGCGUGGGUAGCAAACAGG